UAAGGAAUAUUGCUCAAUGGGAGAAAUCCUGAAGCAGCAACGCCGCGUGGAGGAUGAAGGGCUUUCAGCUUGUAAACUCCUGUAAAGAAGGAAAAAAUUCCCAUUAGAUGGGAAAUGAUGGUACUUCUAAAGUAAGCCCCGGCUAACUACGUGCCAGCAGCCGCGGUAAUACGUAGGGGGCAAGCGUUGUCCGGAUGUCCUGGGGGUAAAGGGUGCUCAGGCGGAUUUGUAAGUCAGAGGUGAAAUCUCACGGCUUAACUGUGAAACUGACUUUGAUACUGCAAGUCUAGAGUAUUGAAGGGGGGGAUGGAAUGUCUGGUGUAGCAGUGAAAUGCGUAGAUAUCAGAUAGAACACCAAUGGCGAAGGCAGUCACUUGGUCCAUUACUGACGCUAAAGCACGAAAGCGUGGGUAGCAAACA
rnacentral:rRNA from 1 species